rnacentral:lncRNA from 1 species
UCCCAUUGCAUAGAAGUUAAUCAAGACCCUUGUGUUCCGAUCAAUAUGAUGACCGCUUGGAAGGAUGUCCGGUUGAAUUGCAGUUUUGUGGUUAAUAGGUACUGCUGGAUAAAGCCUUAAUGUUUCACGUAAAACAGCAUCAAGGUAAACGAAUCUAUUCAGCCCUUCCACGCUAAAAAACAUAUUCUUCUCAUCAUUGAUUGAUGGAGAAUUAGCUCUCAUCUCUUGUAGAAGCUUGCUUUCUACGGAUGGAUUCAUUGCAACAAGCCAGAAAAACCAAGAAAGGCUCGCACUUAUGGUAUCUUUCCCUGCUGACAUGAUGUUUACGGCAACGUCUCGUAGAAACUUGUCAGAUUUUCCAUCAGCACUAGUCAUUUCCCCUUCUUCUUGGACCAUAAAAGCUGUUAUGAAGUCAUAUUUAUCUUCCUUACCCAGUAAUUUGCAUCUUAAUUUUUCUCGUUUUGAUGCAAUGCACUGAUAUAGAAAAGUAUCAAUGGUUUUUAGAGCUUUGCUCAACUUUUUCUCCUCUCCAAUUUGAAGCCAUCUUUGCAACUUCCACAAUCUCAUAGGCAUCAGAUGCCUGUACAACAAACGCUCUUCUGCUUGAAUGAAUGCCGUUUUUAUCGGAACUUCAGAUAAUUCUACUGAAAGAGAACAUGGAUCAAAGCCUACAGCCAACAAGCACACAACGUCGUAGCUGAACCGUUGCAAUACAUCCUGAAGGUCAACCUCAAUCCCAAGUUUCAUGAAGUGCUCCAGGACUACGAUUAAACUUUUCUCUAGUUUUUCACGCAAGAUUCUGUGGAAAUGUAGCACAAACUUGUCGUCUUUCAUCAACAGCAACAUCACCUUCCGCUGGCUUUUCCAUGAAUGAGAGUUUGAGUUAAAUAUUCCUUCACCCAAACAGUCGAAAAAUAUUUCAUUGAACUCAGACCCCUUCUCGUAGCUGUCGAAGUUUUUGCACAAGAUGUGGUUGGCAUUCAUAUGAUCAGCCGUGAUAAUGAAAUCCAAGCUCGGAAACCAAGGUCCCCUGAUCUCGAAAGUGCCCCCACUUUGUCUGACACAAUCGUUCGAAAACGCAAAAAUUCUCCUUGCGUUGUAGAGAAUCCCCGGCAGCAUUCCAACAAUAGGCCAGUUGGUGAUGGGCGGGGACUUCCUAUUUUGAUAGAGGUAUGAAAGAAAUAGAGGAAAGAAAAUUGCCGCAAGUAUGAGGAUGGACUCAAAUUGUGCCAUUGGAGACGGCAGCUUUUCUCUUGUGCUUCUGCUUUUCUAACUUAGGCUGCUUUAUAGAGAUGGUUGGCAGUAUAUAUAGCCACAGAAAUGUGGGAAACUCGUUGCAAUUACCACAUGCAAAUUCCUUCGUUCUAUGCAGAGUGCGGUGAACUUGGUUUGAUCAACGAAAAAGGACAAGGGUAUAUUAAAUAUCAACAGUGACUGGGAGCCCAACUCUUUCUUUUGCAUAUUUACAAUAUAUAGUUGUUCGAUAAAUAAUUAAUGACCGAAAAGUUAGUUGAUUUGUUGACUGUAGCAAGUUUAAUUGCAUGCUUCGGAAGCAAUUUCAAACUUGUCCAUGAAUAUGAUGCAAUGCACUGAUAUAGAAAAGUAUUUCAUUGAACUCAGACCCUGCUUGGAUUAGACCCACAACCAUAUGUACUAGGCAUUAGGUUAGGCAAUGGAUAGAGAUAUUGAAUAAAACUUGGCAGAAGUUCCUUCCCUUAAAAAUGGUCCUAACUUGUUGAAAUAGUGAUAAAAGUUCCAAGCUUUAAAUUUUUGUGAUUUUUUUUUCAGUUUUUUUUUUAUUUUUUUUUCUUCUUAUGAUCAUAAAUUAAUAAAAUUUUUCAUUGAAAAUAAAUUACUUAUUAAUAAUUUUAAUCGUUAAAUACAUAUGAAAAAAAUAGUAUUUUCGAUUGAUAGAUGAAAAUAUUGGAUUGACAUUGAAACUUUUCAUUAAUGAAGACACGAAUAUAUUGUUAAAUAUAACAAUUAAUUUUUUAAGAUAUUUAUCAAAUAUGAAAUUUUUUUAUUGGAAAAUUUUAUCAUAGCAUUGCUUAAGUCCAACUUGGGAUUAAACAUGGCAUAUCUGAUCCCGUAACACUUGUCUAGCUUUUAGUUUUAUUUGAAAAAUGGAGGAUCCUAACUCUUACUUUUAGGUUAAUAUAGCUCAUAUAGUAAUUUUUUUAAAGGUCAUGUAUAUAUUUUGGGGCUUUGAAUUUGUUUGCAGUCUCCAAAAACACUUUGAAAUUUUUUAUAAAGUUAUUAGUCUAACCAAUAUUAGAAUAAUCCUUUAAAAAUUCAUGCUUCAUUAAUUGCUAACAUUAAAAGCAAAAGUGAAGAAAUUGCUUCCACAAUUAAAAAUUCAUUUGAAAUGGGCCCAAGCCUAAUGACUAAUAAACAUUACUCUCAAAGCCCGAGCACAUGCAUUAUUCUUAAAUCAAGAUACCACCACGGCAACAGCUGAUUUGUGGUGUUAUUAAUUGACAUCAUGAUGAUCAACAAUAAUCAUAUAUGCUUAAUCUAGAAUUCAUCCUUGUGUGAAACUCCCUCAAGCACUCCUUUUCUUGAUCCUAACCUUUAAACCAUUCUUCAUAUGAAGCACCACGGCAUUGCUUGGGCAAUAUGAUGGCCUUUUGGGUAGACCCAAAAUUCUAGUGUAGUGCUUUUAAUUUGACAACGAUUUUGACCACCUUCCAUUUAGAACUGGGUAAAGUGGUAAACAUAAAAAUUGUAGCCCAGUCUCUUAGCUUUUUAAUGGUAUAAAAAUCAGGUCAGUAGGACUUCUGUAGUGGGAGAUAUAUUAGAAAAAUCGAAACAUAUGCAAACUAAGACUAUUUCUCACUACAGUGAGAAACUUGCUAUCCUGCUUGCUACCUUGCUUGAUUUUGAUAUAUUUUUCACCCAUUUAACUUCAUGGAUUGAUCGUGGGUUUUUGAAACACUAUGGGGUUAUUAAUCAAAGUUUGAAAUGAGGGGUUUUUAGUAAGAAAUUAAAUCAAUUGCAUUGUUUUUGAAACAAGUGCAUCAUGAUUUUCAAGUUCUCCUUAUUGAUUGCUUGUUUCCUUCUUAUGUUCACUCACUGAGUUUUAUACUCACGUUUUUAAACUUCAUGUUUUCAGAUUCAAAGAUAGUUGGGACUUAGAUUGAGUGUCCACAUAUGCUCGUCUUCUUGGUAGGUACUAUGGCAUCUCAGUAGCUGUACCUUCACCCACGGUCACUCCGUUGACGGUCAAGAGUCUAUUACUUGUGAACGCGUAUAUGUAAUGUAACCCACUAGGAUCCAUGUUAUAAGUCAAAUAUGUUUAUUUGAUUACUGAUGCCACUAUGAGUUGGCAAACGAGUGACAUUAUUUUGACAUAAUAAAAUUGUAAAUAUUGGGUCACUAUAAAAUAUUACUGAAAUAUUUUAGUAGAGAAUUACAAUAUGUGGUUUUAGAAAUGAUGGUUGAGAAUGAUGAUCGGGAUUGCAUAAAAAGGCUAGCUUGGGCUUAGUGGGCUAUGCCCAUUGAGCCCAUGCGCCGGUCAUGGCUUGAGAUUUGGGUUGUGACAAAAAACUCCAAAAAGGAGCUUUCUUUUCUCUUCUUUUAAAACACGUAAACUUUUCAAGAAAUACCUCUCUUAAUCAAUCUCCUUCUCCUCUCCUUCCCUAUGCAAAUCACCUUUCUCUAACACAAAUUGUGAUCUCCCUUUCCUUUACCUCUCUCUACAAAGACUACUAGAAAAAAAUGAAAAAAAUAGAAGACCCAGCAACAGAAUAGUAAACUCUAGAAUUUUUUUGUUCCUAUAAAGAUUUAGAGAAAAGAAGACCCAAAAUUCAAAGCUGUAUUCAUAUACUAUUUAAAAGUUUUCUCUAUUCUUCACCAAAAAGGAUUUUAAUGUCAAAUACUUCAUUUCCUCUUUUCUCUUCUUUCAUGGAGAAUUGAAGCAUCAUGGUCUGAUUGCUUGCUAGAUUAACAAAAAUAUAAUACUAUUACUACUAUACAAGUUUAAGAGUUGUUUUGUUUCUUUAUGGAUUUCUUUGAUUUUAACAUUUGAAAUCAUAUAUAAACUUGAAGCAAACUUGUUUCACUUUAGUUUAUUAAGUAAAUUAGAGAUGGCAUGAAUACCUUUUCUGAUAAUUUUAACCAAAAUUUGAGCUUGUAUAAUUUAUUUUGCCAAAUAGUUUAUGAAACAACUUUAGCUUAAUUUUAAAAGUUAUGAUUUUUUAUAAGAACUUAAUAAUAGCUUUUAAGCAAAAAAAAAAAAAAGUUAAGCUAAACAGUCUCUAAAUCUCUAAGCCACUUCCUCCAUAUUAUUAGUCCAAUAAAUUGCAUUCAUAGAACCGUUUUUUAUCCAUAAAUUGUAAUCAUUGUUGUGCACACUAUUGGUGAAAAAAUACAAAACUUCUUUAAUGGCCAAUAAUNAUAAGAACUUAAUAAUAGUACUUUUAAGACAAAAAAAAAAAAAGUUAAGCUAAACAGUCUCUAAAUCUCUAAGCCACUUCCUCCAUAUUAUUAGUCCAAUAAAUUGCAUUCAUAGAACCGUUUUUUAUCCAUAAAUUGUAAUCAUUGUUGUGCACACUAUUGGUGAAAAAAUACAAAACUUCUUUAAUGGCCAAUAAUUCAACUUUGUUCAAAUCCACAACCCCCAAGGACUUAGAGAACUUUACCUUGACCAUGCCAUUACAAGAUUGUAAAAUUCCUCUUAUUCCAACUUCACUCGAACCACUUGAUGAUGCCCCGUCCACAUUAAAUUUCAGCCAUCCGCUUGGUGGAGCUAUCCAUUUACAUUCCGAUUUUGCAACUUUGUGCCUCUGAAAACUUUUCACAUUAUUAGGAUUAUGAAAAAUCUCUUCCGUUGAAUAUGGCAACUUAGCCCAUUUGGAUUUGACCCACACUACAACUCUUAAUUUAAUGAUCUCAUAUAAUUGAAUCACAGUCCAUUCUUUGCCAUUGAAAAUUAUAUCAUUUCAAAAUUUUCAUAAUGACCAAGUAAUAGUUGUUGUUGGAUUUACAAAGCAAGUGCACAUAUCAUUAACAAAUGUUCAAUAAAAGGACAUUAAUUAUGAAAAAUCUAUUCAUGUUUUUUUUAUGAUGUUAACCCUCUUCCUAAAGAGGAAAAAUAUGAUGAUGAUGUAGGCAUCCUUCAAGAACAAAUUGAGGAAGCUUGAUCUUAAUAUUAAAGGAUCCACAGUGAAUGAAGAAGCAACACAAAAAAAAAGCAACAAAUUAAACAAAUGAUUAUCUAAUUGUGGAUACUAAAUGGAUGUUUAAGAACAAAAUGGAUGAAAAUGGGGCCAUAACUAGAAACAAAGCUAAAUUAGUUGCCAAAGGAUAUAGUCAAGAGGAAGGAAUAGAUUACGAUGAAACUUAUGCUCCAGCAACUAGACUAAAGGCCUUUAGGAUGCUCUUAGCCUUUGCAUCUAACAUGAAUUUCAAACAAUGUCAAAUGGUUGUGAAGAGUGCCUUCUAAAUGGACUCAUAAAUGAAGAAGUAUAUGUUGAACAACCUCCCCAUUUUGAGUAUCUUAUUUUUCCAAAGGGGAAAUUUUUUUUUUUAGCGUUUAAAAAUAACGUGUUUUGUAAAUAAGCCUCUAGAUAAUUUUAACUAUUUGUAGCCACGAGAAUAGAUUUUGGUACAAAAAUGCCCUUAAUGAGCCAUCUUCGUUGAGGUGCACUCUCAAACAACCAAAAAAUGGGAAAAUAAAUAUGUAAAGAAUUUACGACAUAUAAUUUUGUACAAAACAUCCAUUUUUUUCCUCGAAGCUUGUGCAAAACAAAAUAAUGUUGUAUGAGAUGGUUUUUCAAAGAUUUUGGACGUGGCAUUCAGAUAAUAAGAGAAGAGUGAUAUUGAAUUGAAUGAGGAACCGGUCGUGAUGAAUUGAAAAGCUUGGAGAAUGGUGUAAAACUAGAAAUCCCUGAUACGGUGGUGAAUCGAAAGGAGAAAGAUGUGAAUCCAAAGCACAAAAUGAUCGUGCUACAGCAGGCCAUAUGUGAGAUGGUUGUGGCAAGGUAGGGUUUAGAGUUUGUGAAACGGCAUGUUGGGAAUGUGUGACAUGACAUGGUGAGAAUGUGACACGGCAGAGUUUAGAGUUUGUGACACGACAGGGUUUAGAGUUUGUGACACGACAUGGUUAGAAUGUGUGACAUGGCUGUGACAUGCCAUUGUGGGAAUGUGUGACACGGUUGUGACACGCCAACAUUCAGAGUUGGUGACACUCGACGGAGAAAAUCUGUGACACACCAGAGUUUAGAGUUCGUGACACACCAUGGAGGGAAUUUGUGACACGUCAGCGUUUAGAGUUCGUGACACACCAUGGGAGGGAUCUAUGACAUGCCAGCAUUCAAAGUUCGUGAUACGUCAUGAAAGGAAUCUGUGACACGCCAGCGUUUAGAGUUCAUGACACGCCAUGGAGGGAAUCUAUGACAUGCCAACGUUCAGAGUUCGUGACAUGCCAUGGAGGGAAUCUGUGAUACGCCAACAUACAGAGUUUGUCAGACUUCAUGGAGAUCUCUGACACGGCAUGACAAUCGAUGGGUGACACGACAUGCUUUGAGAAAGGAAAAAAAGUGGGCAAUUAACGAGGAAACCGAUUGGACUGCAACUGAACGAAUUCAAUAAAUGAAUAUUUAUAGAGGAAAUUGUGAGGCCAUUUCAUUUUAAUUAAAUAUUUUCCAAAAAUUGUAAAUGUCUACAUUCUUCCUCAUUCCUCAUUCCCAAAUAUACCAGAGUGUUCGACUUUUUUCUUUGCAAGCUUGACGACACCACAUUAGCAAUGUCGGUUAUCAGUGAAGAGGUCAGUCAGUCUAAAAAUAAAACUUUUAAAACUUUUUUCAAUUCAUUGAUUUUUUACUGGUUUUGUGUGAUAUGUUCGUGUUUUUUCAAUCUUUUUCAAUUGUUAUGUUUAAAUCGUUUUCUUCUCGAUUUUAGGGUCGUAUCAAAGUUUUGAAAUACAACAAAUAUGGCGUGUAGUGGGUAAACAGCUUUUAGGGGUUUUUAGUGUGUCACGACAUUGAUUAUUUUAGGGUAGUUUGUGUAACGGGUCAGUAAUUACACUGAUUGGCGUGUCACACGCACUAGUAUUUUAGGCUAGUUCGUGUAAGGACACAGAAAUUAUAGUGAUUGGCGUGUCAGCGUUGGCGUGUUACAACAUUUGACUUGAUAUGCAUGGCAUGUUACAACAUUUUACGUUAUAUGCAUGGCGUGUUGCCACAUUUUACGAUAUAUGCAUGGCGUGUUACAACAUUUUACGUUAUAUGCAUGGCGUGUUGUCACAUUUUACGAUAUAUGCAUGGCGUGUUACAACAUUUUACGUUAUAUGCAUGGCGUGUUACCACAUUUUACGUUAUAUGCAUGGAGUGUUACAACAUUUUACGUUAUAUGCAUAACGUGUUACCACAUUUUACGUUAUAUGCAUGGCAUGUUACAAUAUUUUACGUUCUAUACAUGGCCUGUUACAACAUUUUACGAUAUAUGCAUGGCGUGCUACAACAUUUUACGAUAUAUGCAUGGCGUGUUACAAUAUUUUACGAUAUAUGCAUGGCGUGUUACAAUAUUUUACGAUAUAUGCAUGGCGUGUUACAAUAUUUUAUGUUAUCUGCAUGGUGUGUUACCACAUUUUACGUUAUAUGCAUAACAUGUUACAACAUUUUACGUUAUAUUCACGGCGUGUUACCACAUUUUACGUUACAUGCAUGGCAUGUUACCACAUUUUACGUUAUAUGCAUGGCGUGUUACCACAUUAUAGGUUAACUCACUCGUGCAUGUGUAUCAUGUUUUGCAGAUGCAGUCCAGAAAGUAUGAGGAUCUUGACAAUUUGCUUAUUGUGUCGAGGGAGAAGCGGGCAUUCAAUGUCACUAUUAACACCCACUGUAAGUGGUUGCAACUGCAUUACAUCAAUAAGACCCUCCAAGAGAAAGUGGAGUAUAAUGCAGUGAAGCGUACAUGCUUUGGAAUGCUGCUGAACGUAUAUCUGUAAGGUUACUUCUCCUCUAGUCUCCUGCAUAACAUCAUGAUCUGUUGAAUCACUAUGAUAGAUUCAAUGGAGCAUGAGCUAUGGUUUGCCAUUGGGAAAAGUAAGGUGCGCAUAUCAAAGUAGGAGUUCUGCCUUAUCACCGAACUGAAGUUUGGUCGAAUGCCAGAUGUGUUCACACGACCUUAUGAGGUUGUUGCGGAUGGAUUUCAUGCGCGAUACUGAAACGGGUAGCAGAGCAUUAAGCUGCAGGCCUUGCUUGAUACAUUCCAUGGAGGGAACCUUGAACGACCGGGAGACGCGACCAAGAUGGCACUCAUCUUGAUCGCAAAUAACAUUUUAUUUGGUCAAGACUACCGUAGACGGAUGACGCCUUGGCUCUUGUCGUUGGUGGAGGAUAUCGAUGCUUGGAAUGUCUUUCCAUGGGGUCACUAUGUUUGGAGGCUGACCUUGAACUACCUUUUUAAAGGGUUCAAAGUGCCUUCCUCGAAUGUGCAAACAGAUCGUUUACGAUACAACAUUUACAAAUUCGCGUGGGUGAUACAGGUACUGUCACGUAACAUUUUUCAUUUUCCUUUUGAUAUAAUAAUUUACGGUCUGAUAAUGGUUAUAUUUGACUUUCAGUUUUGGGCAAUAGAGGCAAUUCCGGCCUUGCGAAAGAUAGUUGCCCCCUCUACUCCAAAGGACAUCUACCCACGUAUGUGCAGACGGUAAUGCAUCCAGAAGCCAAAACACUUCUACAAGGCAGUUGAGAUAUUAGAGUCAUCUCAGUAGGUGAGUGAACAACUACUAAUUUCUGUUGUGAAUUUGUAUAAUAAUUUUCUCAAAAAUUUAAUCACAAUCCCUAUUUUGUAGUUGUGGGCAGUGAAGACUUUGGAACCCACCCCAGAUACGGCCAACCAGGAUUAUUUUGUGGACAUUGAUGUCCCGUUAUCUGAGGGCUACCAAUAUGUGCCAAUAGGGCACAUGGAGGAUCGGGUGGACUGGGGCUUAGGUUCGAGGGAAAAGAAGAGAAACUUGAAGCACAAAAGAGCCACUAGUACAAGCAAGCGGAGGCACACCACUGCUGUUGUCGUCAAUUAGUUGUCAGUCUCCGAGUUUAUGGAGGAAGGUGACAACCAUGGCAAUGGCAGUGAAGAGCCAGUAAGGACGGUUCUAAAGGUUUGUGUUAAACAAUUCCAUAUGCGAUUAUUGAAUAACAUAUAUGUGUUUGCAGUUGGACCAUACGACGACAACUCUACAACCACUAAUAGGUCCUCCUCAGACUCACAGUGCUAACGAGGAGCCAUUAAGGACUGUUAUAACGGUUUAUAUUCAACAAUUCCAUAUGUGAUUAUCGAAUAACAUAUCUGUAUUUACAGUUGGACCAUGUGACGACAGCUCCUUAACCACUGAGUGGUCCUCCUCAAAAGCACUGUGUUAACGACCAGUCGGUAAGAUCAGUUCUAACAGUUUGUGUUCAACAUUUCCAUAUAUGUUUAUCGAGUAACACAUUAAUUUCUGUUAUUGCAAUUGAGGGAGGUGACCACAGCUCCUCAACCACCAAUCGGUCCUACUUAACCACAAAAUGGUAACCAGCUGUCAAUGAGGAAUAUUAAAGUUCUAACGGGUAAUGUUCAACACUUCCAUAUAUGAUUAUUGAAUGACACAAUAAUAUAUGUUAUUGCAGUUGACCCAUUCGACAAGAGUCAAUGACAGAUUAGUCACGAAGCGUCAGCUACGACGAAUCAUGCACCGGUAUAAAAAAGACAUGUCGGAGCUGAAGGCUUCAAUUCAGUGAUUGACUCUGGCGAUGCAAACGUUUGAGGACCAAGUUGUUGCUCAGAUUUUAGACGGUUUGAAAUCAUAGGUACAUUAUUCUAUCUUCGCUCAUAUAUUGGUCGUUUACGUUUAGUAGGUGUAGUUCUAUUAUUUGUUCUCAGUUUAUGGUUUUUGGUAUUAUAUGAGCUAACGAAUUUUUCAAUUUGUCUCGUUCUAUAGGCCGGUCCUUCAUCCCAUGGUGCUGGUGAGGACCACGAUGAUGCUGAUGAUGGGCACCAUGAUGAACCUAGUGUGCACAUUCACGAUGACGUUGCUGGUGCUGAGGGAAACCCUAUUUCUGAGACCGAUCCGGUUAUCGAUGCAUCUGUGGGAGGGGAGGGGGACAUUCAUUCAAUCGUGGGUGAAAGAGAGGAUCUUCCUCAGGCCGACGCAUUAGUGGAGGCAGCAGCAGGAGGGGACCAUCUUCCUUAUAGCACUCAUGAAGCCAGCGACUCACGGUUAUUGUCACUAAAGUCAUCUGAUGUCCAUCAUCAUGCAGCAGAAAUUUCAGACCCAACUGAGUAAGCAUGGGUGAAAAUGGUGAGCAAAUAUAAGGCAAGCCCAUACGUUGACCCCUUAGUGAGCCAUCGGGAUGUAAAGAGCACAACGGUUGAAGUGUACGAAGCUUUCAAGAAAGACGAAUGCGAGAGGUAAGCUCAUAAAUAACAUUGCAAAUAUUGUUAUUUAAUGAAACAUUAAUCCACCAAGGCUUUUCAAACUCAUUCUGUUACAUAUGCAAAUGUAACGUAGGGAUUUUAAGGGAUCAAGGGGCUGACUUUUUCACAAUAUUAGAAUAUCUCAAAGAAGAAAUGAGUAGUGAACAUAUAGGCGCAUGCCUCAACGUACUUUGUAAGCAGAUGACAGGGUCGAAGUUGAAGUUGUACACUACCCCGUGCAUGCGUGGUUGACACAAUAUUCUUCGUAAGUUUAUUUAAAAAAUUUUCAAUUCUAAAAAUAUUAAGUUUUUUAUUACAUUAAGUGUAAGCUAAUGUAUACAUGCUUCACAGGACACCAUCCAUAUGCUACACACCUUAUUUCCAACUGAAGAUGCCCGGUCGACUAUGAAAAUUUCAGAUGAGUUAUGGGCGUAUGUGGAAGGUGAGAAGCCGACAUACGAAAAAAAAAGGGAAGAUGUCGAUUUCAUCCUCACACCUUGCAAUGUGGGUGGGCAUUGAGUGGUAGCGAAGAUCGACUUGGUGAGGUGGACAAUCAAGGUUGUGGACUCCAAAAGAACUUCGGAUGCUAAGGAUAACAGAGUGCGAGUGGCUCAAAUGAUACCUCUUACGACAAUUAUGCUAAUCAUCUGCCACCAAGCCGGUUAUUUCAACAAAACACGUCGAAAAACACUAGUUUUGAAGCUAAUGCCAUUGGAAAUUCAUUUACCAAAAGCUAAAGUACAUCGACAGGAUGAUAGUGUCAGCUGCGGUAUGUUCAUGAUAUGGUAUAUUGACGAUAUUUGCAAUCGAAAUCGAUCAGAGUUAAGCAGAAUAUGAUUGCAAAUAUGAGUCACCAAUACGCUGUAGAAAUUUUUUUUCAGUAGUUGUGAGAGCGAACCAUGAACAUAUCGACCUUUGUCUGUACAUUUUUUGUAUAUACAAUUAAUUUGAUUAAUUUUAAUAUUUGUACAUUUUAUACAUUAGUUUUUACUUCUCAAUUCAAACACACUGCCUUUAAAUUAAUACUGCAACCACGUGGCGUGUCACACAAUUGGGGCAUGGCAUGUCACCCCUGAAAACUGGAAUAUGUCAGCUUGUCACACCAAGUAUCUGGUUCCACUUAGUGUGUCACCACAAUUGGGGUGUGCUGUGUCACCCCACAAUACUGUAAGAAGUCAGCAUGUCAUCACAUAAAUUUGUAUGCACUCAACGUGUCACGUAAACUAUCUGCUUACACUCAGCGUGUCACCACAAGAUGGGGCAUGCUGUGUCACCCCACAAUAAUGCAAGAAGUCAUCAUGCCACCACAGAAAUCUGCAUGCACUCAACGUGUCAGCUUAGCAUAAUAUAUUUUUCAAAAAUUUUCGUCCUUAUAUUUUAAUUUUAUUUUUAAAAUAUUUUAAUUUAAUAAAAAUUAAUUAUGAUGAUUCAUAGAUGAAAUUUGAUUGGAUAAUCCAUAAAUUUUUUUAAAUUUGUUUGGUCAAGUCAUGUGUUUUAAUCUUAAAUCUCAUAUCAUAUGUUUUUAAUUAGUCCAAAAUUUUUUCUCUUUCUACACUUGCAUCCUUUAAAGUAACUCCUUGGUACAAUAUUAUUAUUAUUAUUAUUUUGUUAAGUGAUUGGCUUAAAGUUUAAUAUGGAGGUAUUAAUAAGAUAAAAUAAAUGUUAUAAUUAAAAAAUUACAAAAACAAAUUGAAUAUGAGGAUUUAGAAAGCUACUAAAGUUAGAUGAAUUAAUUUUUUAUCUCUUAAGAGAUUUGAUUGUAAAAACAUAAAAGGUUAAAUCAAAUGAAAUAAAAAGAAAUUAAAUUAAAUAAUUAAUUAUUUAAUACAAGUCAUAAUAAAAUGUGAGAAAGGGGAUAACAGUAUAGGGACUUCGCAAGUCUAUUCAAUGUUCCAAACUACGGACAAAAUGAAAUGAAUAAUCAAAUAAUAUAUCUACAAAAUUAAUAAAAACAAUAAAGACUCAUCUACAAGAGGAAACUAUGCUACACAUCCAUAUACACAUUUAGUUAGGCUGACAAGCUGUCUUCAUCCACAAGACACCCUACAUUUUAAGACAUUAUCCUUCAUAUUGGACAGUUGUUGCGUGUGUGACCAGUUUGUCUGCAACUUGAACAUGCUUUCGGUCAGUGCACUCUUAGAGGAGCCGAUUGACUUGGAGAUGGUGCCAAUUUGUGGAUGGAACUGCAAAUGGUGAUUGGCAAUUCUGUCUGUUAUGGUCGUACCUCUUGCAUUGCGAACAUCUUUGUGCUCGAUUGCUUUCACCAGCCGAUGGAAUCCUUCUCCUCCUAGGUCUUCCCGUUUGGCCUUGCCAAGGUGGUGGCAAGAAGACAAUUUAUUUCACAUGAGGGGGGAUGUCCCACUCGUUAGGAUUCCCUAUUGGGCGAAUGGACCUCGCAUAAUCCUUCACCAAAAUGGUUGUCUUAUAGUAGUCAGCGCAGAAUUCAGUGGCUUCAUGUUUGCAUUUACUGAAAUAUACAAUGAACUCAAUGUUCAAGCACAAUGUAAAUACUAUGUCAAUUAGGGUUCAAAUAAGAAAUAAAGAUAUCCUGACCUUAUUGUUGCAAUGGCAUGGUUGCAUGGCAGUAAACUUGUUUGGAACUCACAACAUGAACACGUCUUCGUGGAUAGGUUUACAAGUCUGUCCAUCUUCCCGUCUUUAACUUCGAACUCCACUCAAUUGAUAGGUUUAACCACAAAGUGAUGUGCAUCAUUGAACUGUUUGCUCAACUGCUUGGCAACCUAAAGGUUGAGGGGCGUGGUCACCUUGACGGCCUCGUCAUACCGGUCAUGGAACUAACGCUAGAACAUGUCUCUGAUGAACUCGAUCAAAACAGUGAUUGACAUUUGUCUUGCAUGCUUCAAGCAUGAGUUAACACAUUCCGCAAUGUUGGAUGUCAUCAUUUGGUAUCGCCUAGCUGGUGAACAGGCACGUGCCCAUCUUUCAGGGCCUAUUCUCAUAAAGUCGGCAUGGGCUCCCGCAUGAAUCUGCUUGAGCUGGUUCAUAUGUUUGUUGAAAUCGAACAAUUGAAAAUUAUGGUGAUAAGGAACCUAUUUGAUUGUCCUAUCUUUAUACAAGAAUAUUCUAUAUAGAAUAGAAAAUGGUAAAAAUUUUGAAGUAAGGUAAUGCUGAAAUAUGUGAAUAAGCUUUGUCAAGCUAGAGACUGAUAUAUGGUAGAUAGUCCUGCAGGGAUGUGUAUAUCUAUUAAGAAUUGCAGCUUGUAACUCUUAGAAGAUAACACAAAGAAACCUUUUGAGAUAUAGAAACAUAAAUUACCUGGUAAUAAAUUGGCCUGUCUGUGUGGUUGGAAUGCUUCCUAUUGUGACUUAAGUUUUUAAGCAUUCAAUGGCUAUGGAUGCUGUAUACAAAGGUGAAUGAAAACAGAACAUGAACCAUCAGUAAAAAGAACAACAUUCAUUUUCAUUGAUUUCAGUUUUUAGUACAAAGAAGUAAUGGUACAUAACAUACCAAAAGUAUAUGACACUUAUUUACGGCAUAAUACAGGUGCUUUUUUUUUUUGAAGUUCAUUAAUUAAAUUCUUAUUCGAUUCUAAUGAAAAUCACCAAACUAAUAAAUGUAAUCUCUUGUUUCUUACAACCACAUGACUGCAAGUCAAUCAAACAUCCUUCCGAGAAGGACAUGUUCAAUCACACAUUCUUAUUUAAAAUAUUUUAAUAAUAUAAUUAACAUACAAUGACGGAUUGGGUUAGAUCAAGUUUAGGAUUUUAAGGUAUUAAUUGAAUUUAACGCGUCCCAACUUGACCUAUGAACAUCUCUAUUUUAAAGAUUUAUUUUUUCCCUUCAUUUAACUAUUGUACUAUAAGGAAUCAUUGUAGUAUUUGAGUUUGAAUGUUUUAGUAGGAGAAUAUAUAAGUAAAAUAAAAUUAAUAACCUCUAUGUAGAGCAUUAAAUUGCUCUAACUUAUCAUGUUCUUUCCUUUAUGUUACCUUACUUUCUUCUCUGUUUUUUCUUAGAAAAAAAUUAACAUACAUUGAUCAUAAUGAAAAAAAGUAGUUGGCUGAUAUGAAACAAGGUGUAUAUAUAUAUAUAUAUAUAUUGUUACUUGCAUGCAUAAUUAAAUUACAAGCAUGAAAUCUUAAGGUUGCAUGCCUUUAUGUGUUCUACUGCUGGGCUUAAGUAUUUCAAGCUACAAAAAUUUAGGGUUGGGCUUAGACGCUCACCGACUGUAACAAAUUGGCCCGUCAUUGGGAUGGUGCCAGGACUUGUUGGCAACAACUCUGUAGAUACGAAGCACUUUACCAAAAUUAUGAUACAGCAUGGGGGCACUUUCGAGUUUAAGGGCCUAGGUUUCCUAGAUUAGACAUUUUUAUCAUUAGUGAUCCCAUGAAUAUCAAUCACAUCUUGUGCAAAAAAUCUGAUAACUAUGUUGAGAAAGGUUCUGAAUGUAGGGAAAUAUUUAUGGAUACAUGGGGGAAGGAAUAAUCAAUGCAGACUUGCAUUCAUGGAAAACUCAAAUGAAGAUGUGGAUGUCGUUGAUGCAUAAUAGCAAGUUUACAAGGCGUGUAGAGAAAAUCCUUUGGCAGAAGUUGGAAAGUAGCCUAUUUUCAAUGCUUGAGCGUUUCAUGAAACUUGAUGCAGAGGUAAAUCUUCAAGAUGUAUUUCAACGGUUCACCUAUGACAACAUAUGCUUGUUGGUGUUAGGCUUCGAUCCAAGCUCUCUUUCCAUUGGAUUCCCAGAAGUUCCAAGCAAAGUGGCAUUCACUCGUGGAGGAGGUUUUGGUAUAUAGACACAUGGUUCCUAUAAGUUUUUGGAAGUUACAAAAAUGGCUUUAAAUUGGAGAGGAGAAAAAAAUGAGUAAAGCUCUAGAAAUCCUUGAUAAUUUUGGAUACCAAUGCAUUUCAUUGAAACGAGAGGAACUAAAAACCAAAUCACGAAUGGAGGAAGAUGAAUUUGACUUGCUGACUGUUUUUAAAAACACACCAACUCUUCAUAAAAUACCCCACUUCCUUAAAUAAUCUCCCUCUCCUCUCAUUCCCUCUGCAUAUCACUUUUCUCCAACGUAAAUUGCGAUCUCCCUUUCCUCUACCUCUCUCUACAAAGACUAUUAAAAAAAAAUAGAAGACCAAGCAAUAGAACAGCAAAAUCUAAGAUUUUUUUGUUCUUACAAAGAUUAAGAGAAAAAAAAAACCCAAAAUUCCAAGCUGCAUUCGGAUACUAUUUAAAGUUUUUCUCUCGUCUUCAUCAAAAUGGAUCUUAAUAUCAAUACAUCGUGUCCUUUCUUCUCUUCUUUCUUGGAGAAUUGAAGCAUCAUGAUCCGAUUGCUUGUUAGAUCAACAAAAACCUAAUAUUAUUACCACUAUUCAAGUUUGAGAGUUGUUUCAUUUCUUUAUGGAUUUCCUUGAUUUUAGUAUCUGAAAUCAUAUAUAAACUCAAAACAGACUUAUUUUGUUUUAAUUUAUUAAGUGAUUGGAGAUGGCAUUAAUACAUUUUAUGGUAAUUUUAAUCAAAAUUAGAAUUUAUAUAAUUUAACAUGCUUCGGAUGCAAUUUCAAACUUCAAGAGCUUUUUCUGUCAAGAAAGAUAUAUGUUUUACCUACUUGGAUUAGACUCACUACCAUAUGUACUUAAGCAUUAGGUUACGCAAUGGAUAAAGAUAUUGAACAAAACUAGGCAAAAGUUCCCUCCCUUAAAAAUGGUCCCAACUUGUUGAAAUAGUAAUAAAAGUUACAAGCUUUGAAUUUAUGUGAUUUUUUUUUCAGUUUUUUUAUUUUUUUCUUCGUAUGAUCAUAAAUUAAUAAAAUUUUUCAUUGGAAACCAAUUAACUUAUUAAUAAUUUCAAUCGUUUUAUAUAUGAGAGAAAAAUAGUAUUCCCGAUUGAUAGAUGAAAAUAUCGAAUUGACAUCAAAAAUUUUCGUUAAUGAAGAUACGAAUAUAUUUUUAAAUAUAACAAUCAAUUUUUUAAGAUAUUUAUAGAACAUGAAAUUUUUUUUCUUGAAAAAUUUUAUCAUAGGUGAAAUUAUAAAAAACAUAAAAUCUAAUUAAUUUUACUAUGAUGUAACUUACUCUUUAAUAUAUAUAUAUAUAUAUAUAUUAUAUAUAUAUUCAUACAUGGCACUGCUCAUGUCCAACUUGGGAUUAAACAUGGCAUAUCUGAUCCCUUGAUACUUGUCUAGCUUUUAGUUGUAUUUGAAAAUUGGAGGAUCCUAACUCUUCCUUUUAUUUUGAUGAAAUAAUACAUAUAAACAUAUUUAUAAUUCUUAGUUGUACAAUAAUGACCGAAAAGUCAGUUGAAUUGAUGACAAUGAUCCUUUGACAGCAAGUUAGGUUAAUAUAGCUCAUAUAGUAAUUUUUUUAAAGGUGAUGUAUAUAUUUUGGAGCUCUGAAUUUGCUUGCAGUCUCCAAAAACACUUUGAAAUUGUUUAUAAAGUUAUUAGUCUAACCAAUAUUAGAAUAAUUCUUUAAAAAUAUAUGUUAGUAAAUAAAUUUGUAAAUCGAAUAUGUCAAUACAUCGAUAUAUAAAAUCUUUUGGAUAUUUCUUUCAUUAAUUAAUUUUAUAUUUCCGACACAAAGUGAGAGCCCAACUCUAGUUUAUUCAAGUAUAUAUAUAUAUAUAUAUAUCUUUUUUUUCAUAUUUUUACUAUUUCCUUUUCCAUUUUUCUUAAAAAAUUGUAUAUACCCAAAAGUUCUAAUUUAUUGAAAUUGAGCAUGGGCUUAAUGUAUGUUUUUGAGGCUAAAUCUUGGGCCCCAAAAAUGCUAAUCAUCAUGAGUUCAAGCCUGAAAUCCCAUUGCAUUUUUGAGUGUGGAUAAAUCACUUUUGUUUGUUUCUCUGAGUACAUCUUCUUAAUUAAGGAAGAAUGCAAAGUCAACAAGACGGGGGAAAAUCUGUGCACGUAUGCAAUGGGGGGAAAUAAAAGUUCAUGAUUCAUUAAUUGCUAACAUUAGAAGCAAAAGUGAAGAAAUUGCUUCCACAAUUAAAAAUUCAUUUGAAAUAGGCCUAAGCCUAAUGACUAAUAAACGUUACUCUCAAAGCCUGAGUACAUUCAUUAUUCUUAAAUCAAGAUACCACCACGGUAACAGCUGAUUUGUGGUGUUAUUAAUUGACAUCAUGAUGAUCAGCAACUAUAUGCUUAUUCUAGAAUUCAUCCUUGUGUGUAACUCCCUCAAGCACUCCUUUUCUUGAUCCUAACCUUUAAACCAUUCUUCAUAUGAAGCACCAUGGCAUUGCUUGGGGCAACAUGAUGGCCUUGAACCACUUGAAUUUGAUAAUUCCAUAGCACAGAGAUAGCGACCAACUUCAUCUGAACGAAGCUUAUUUUCCUACCUAUACAAGUCCUGGGCCCUGCAUUGAAUGCUAUGAAUUUGUGAGAUGGUACGUGUACAAGAUCUCCACGCUCCGAAAUCCACCUCUCUGGUUUGAAUUCUAAACAGUCUUCACCCCAUAUUUCUUCCAUUCUUCCCAUUGCAUAGAAGUUAAUCAAGACCCUUGUGUUCCGGUUAAUAUGAUGACCGCUUGGAAGGAUGUCCGGUUGAAUUGCAGUUUUGUGGUUAAUAGGUACUGCUGGAUAAAGCCUUAAUGUUUCACAUAAAACGGCAUCAAGGUAAACGAAUCUAUUCAGCCCUUCCACACUACAAAACAUAUUCUUCUCAUCAUUGAUUGAUGGAGAAUUAGCUCUCAUCUCUUGUAGAAUCUUGCUUUCUACGGAUGGGUUCAUUGCAACAAGCCAGAAAAACCAAGAAAGGCUCGCACUUAUGGUAUCUUUCCCUGCUGACAUGAUGUUUACUGCAACGUCUCGUAGAAACUUGUCAGAUUUUCCAUCAACACUAGUCAUUUCCCCUUCUUCUUGGACCAUAAAGGCUGUUACGAAGUCAUAUUUAUCUUCCUCAGCCAGAAAUUUGCAUCGUAAUUUUUCUCGUUUUGAUGCAAUGCACUGAUAUAGAAAAGUACCAACGGUUUUUAGAGCUUUGCUCAACUUUUUCUCCUCUCCAAUUUGAAGCCAUCUUUGCAACUUCCACAAUCUCACAGGCAUCAGAUGCCUGUACAACAAACGCUCUUCUGCUUGAGUGAAUGCCGUUUUGAUCGGAACUUCAGAUAAUUCUACUGAAAGAGAACUUGGAUCAAAGCCUACUGCCAACAUGCACACAACGUCGUAACUGAACCGUUGCAGUACAUCCUGAAGGUCAACCUCAAUGCCAAGUUUCAUGAAGUGCUCCAGGACUAUGAUUAAACUUUUUUCUAGUUUUUCACGCAAGAUUCUGUGGAAAUGUAGCACAAACUUGUCGUCUUUCAUCAACAGCAACAUCACCUUCCGCUGGCUUUUCCAUGAAUGAGAGUUUGAGUUAAAUAUUCCUUCACCCAAACAAUCGAAAAAUAUUUCAUUGAAAUCGGACCCUUUUCCGUAGUUAUCAAAGUUUUUGCACAAGAUGUGGUUGGCAUUCAUAUGAUCAGCCGUGAUAAUGAAAUACAAGCUCGGAAACCAAGGUCCCCUGAUCUCGCAAGUGCCCCCACUUUGUCUGACACAAUCGUUAAGAAACGCAAAAAUUCUCCUUGCGCUGUAGAGAAGCCCUGGCAGCAUCCCAACAAUAGGCCAGUUGGUGAUCGGCGGGGACUUCCUAUUUUGAUAGAGGUACGAAAGAAAUAGAGGAAAAAAAAUUGCCGCAAGUAUGAAGAUGGACUCAAAUUGUGCCAUUGGAGACGGGAGCUGUUCUUUUGUGCUUCUACUUUUUAACUUAGGCUUCUUUAUAGAGAUGGCUGGCAGUAUACAUAAAGACAAAAAUAUGGGGAACUAAUUGUAAUUACCAUGGAUGGAAAUCCUCUGCCCUUUUCCCUGCCCCGUUCAUAUGCGUUUAACUUUGUUUAAUCAUAUUAAAAAAAGAGAAAAUUACGAGGAAUAGUCUUUCUUAAUAAAAACAUUUUAAAAAUAAUCAUCAAAAUAAAUUUAACUGUUUUUAGUCAUAUUUAACUAUAAUUUGACAAAAUACUCUUGAAACUAUUUCAAAUAAAUUAAAUCAUUCAUCACAAUUUUUUUCCAUUUAUAUUUCUGAUUUUUUUCUCUCACCAUCCCAAUCUCUCAAAUUUUAUCAAUUUCUUUCUUCGACAUUCGUCUGCUAUACUUUCGAUUUCUCUCUUCUGCAUUUUCAGAUUUAUCUUUCUUAUACUUGUAAGACACCAAGCAAUGGUUUUGAUGUGCUUGGGUGGGUGGUUAUUUGAAAAUUUUGAUUUUUAGGUAUUUUGGGUAAAACUAAAACGGUAGAAAUGAUCAUAGAUGUUUGAAAUAACUUUUAAUUAAAUCAAUUGAAGACCUAGACACCAAUAAGCUCAAAAAAUUGAAAUUUAUAACCCUAGGUUUUCAAAAUAAAUUUUUAUUUUUAUUUUUAGUUGAAAUAGGUGUUUUAGAUAAGAAAAUUUAUGUUUUGAUUUAUGAAAAUAUGUUAAAAACACUUUAAUUGGUGCCAAAUUAUCAAAAAAAAAAAAACAAAAAGAAAUGAAGAGAGUUGAGAGGAUUUAAAAUUUUGGUUCGUAAGUAACAAUAACAUUUUAAACAUUAAAGUGUAACAAAAUGUUUUUGAAUAUAGCGUGUAACAAUAAUAUUUUUUUAACAUGACGUGUAACAACAGUAUUUUUUUUUCAACAUGGCGUGUAACAACCUUUUUAAACCAUGCUGUGUAAUAUUUUUUUGUACAUGGCAUGUAACAACAGUAUUUUUUUCAACAUGACGUGUAACAACCUAACCAUGGAGUGUCACAUGUUUUUGUACAUAACGUGUCACAUGUUUCUGUACAUGACGUGUCACAUGUUGCUGUAUAUGACGUGUAAUAACUUAAUCAUGGCGUGUAACAUAUUUUUGUACAUGGAUUGUAAUAUCAUAACGUGUAAUUUCAUUAAAGGUCCAACUUGGUUAAAAAUAAUUAAAAUUAUAAAGAGAGUUAUUUUUAAAUUCUAGGUUUUUUUGCUAUCUUAUAAAUUCUAGUUUUUCUGAGUUUACAGCAUAUAAACUCUGCAAUUUUUUGAUCUGCAAUGUCGUUUAUUUCUCUCUCCCCCCAACUGAAUCUAACACAAGUUAUACAACUUUUACAACCUAUAAAUCAUUCUAUUACAACCGAAUUAAUUUAUAAACUCAACAACAAUUGGGAGAAGGAUAUAUUAAAUAUCAACAAUAAUUGGGAGCCUAACUCUUCCUUUCGCAUAUCUAUAAUAUAUAGUUGUUCGAUAAAUAAUGACCCAAAAGUUAGUUGAUUUGAUGACUGUAGCAAGUUAAUUUAAUUACUUGCUUCGGAUGCAAUUUCAAACGUCAACAGCUCUUUCUGUCUGGAAAAGAUCUAUGUUUCACUUACCGGGAUUAGACCCACACACAUAUGCACUUAGGCAUUAGGUUAGGCAAUGGAUAGAGACAUUGAACAAAACUUGGCAAAAGUUCCCUCCCUUAAAAAUGGUUCUAACUUGUUGAAAUGAUAAUAAAAGUUACAAGCUUUGAAUUUAUGUGAUUUUUUUUUCUUUGUAUGAUCAUAAAUUAAUAAAAUUUUUCAUUGGAAACCAAUUAACUUAUUAAUAAUUUCAAUCGUUAAAAAUAGUAUUCUCAAUUGAUAGAUGAAAAUAUUGGAUUGGCAUCGAAACUUUUCUUUAAUGAACAUACGAAUAUAUUGUUAAAUAUAACAAUCAGUUUUUUAAAAUAUUUAUCAAACAUGAAAUUUUUUUUUUGAAAAAUUUUAUCAUAAAUGAAAUUAUUAAAAAAUAAAAUCUAAUUAAUUUUACUAUGAUAUAACUUACUCUUUUAUAUAUAUAUAUAUAUUCUCAUACACGGCAUUGCUCAUGUCCAACUUGGGAUUAACAUGGCAUAUUUGAUCCCUUGACACUUGUCUGGCUUUUAGUUUUAUUUGAAAAAUGGAGGAUUCUAACUCUUCCUUUUAUUUUGAUUAAAUAAUACAUAUAAACAUAUUUAUAAUUCUUAGUUGUACAAUAAUGACCGACAAGUUAGUUGAAUUGGUGACAAUGAUCCUUUUAUAGCAAGUUAGGUUAAAACCACACUAUAAUUAAAUUUCAAACUUCAGGAGCUUCCGUCCAAAAUAAGAAGAUAUAUGUUCUACUUACUUGAAUUGGACAUCAACUUUAAUUUUGAACCAAAAUUCUUAAACAUAGGCAAUCGAUGGAGAACGAAACUUAUCAAAAGUUCCCCCCUUAAAAAUAGUCCUAACUUGCUAAAAUAGGAAUAAAAAUUACAAGUUUUGAAUUUAUGUGAUUCUUUUUUCAAUUUGAAACUACGGUGUUUGGUACAAGGGAAGUAAGUAACAUUCCCUGCAAUGUAAAUGACAAAAUUACAUUACAAUGUGUUAGCUGUAAAUUAAUCCUAAUUUUGAAAUGACAAAAACCAUUAUUAAAAUUGCUUGAAUAAAUUUUGAGCUUAACUUCUUCAUGUUCAAAAACCCCUAUGUAUUUGGUUUUGAAAUGUCAAAGUAUCUUCCAUCAAAAAGGUUGAAAACAUAGUGUUUUAUCAAGAGGAAAGCUACAAGGAUCGAUCCCAAGGGUUAAGGGAUCGACCCAUGAUGGACAAAACCGAAUGGUCCCUAUGCUGCUUGCUAGGAUCGAUCCCCUGCUCACAUAAAUUUGAAUCUGCAGCAUAAGGAUCUAUCCCAUCCAUAUAGUCGUUGGAGAGUUAAAAGGGCAUUUUUCAGCAAAGCAACAGCUCUACUCAACAUUAAGUUUUGAAAAAAUAGGAAGGUUAUAUCUUAACAUUGAAAAGAUAAAGAAGUUAUAUUUUAGCCUUUUACUUGUAUUGAUUUUGAUCCAUAGUGAAUUAAAGUCCUUAGCAAACUAAGAGAAAAGAUGUAGACACCAAGGUUACCAAAAAAUACGUUUGUAACUCUUGUAGACUUAUCAUGUAACUUGAUGUAAUCUUAUCCCAACUUAUACUAUACUAAUCAUAUCCUCUUGCCCAAGAGACAUUGCCAUGUUCUAUAAAUUCAUACUCAAUGCAAAGCUAUCAAAUCAUCCUUCUUCAUAAUCAAUUCUUUCUUGUAUUACUCAUAAUUGCCACAUGCAAUGCUUACGUACUUCUAGGCUCAAAUAGAUUUAAUUCUUGGUCAUCUAAUUAAAAUAAUGCAAUGCGCCGUGAACUUGGUUUGAUCAGCCAAAAAAAGAGAAGGAUAUUAAAUAUCAAAAAUAUCUACUUAGGCAUUAAGCAAUGGAUAGAGAUAUUGAACAAAACUUAUCAAAAGUUCCCUUCGUUAAAAAGGAUCCUAACUUGUUGAAAUAAUAAUAAAAAUUACAAGUUUUGAAUUUUUGUAUCUUUUUUUUUUUUCAGUUUGAAACCUAAGGGAAGUAAGUAACAUUCUUUACAAUGUAAAUGGCAAAAUUACAUUACAAUGUUUGGUAACAAAAAAAACCAAUGUAAUAUUACAUAUACAUUAUAUUAAGAUAGCGUUUGGUACUUUAUAAUAUAAUGUGAUUACAGGUAAUGUGAUUGCAGAGAAGAUAACAUUGCAGUGUUUAGUAUAUAAGUAAUAUAAUGAUUAAAAUGCAGAGAAGAUAACAUUGCAGUGUUUAUUUUACAAGUCCUUUACAGGGUAUGUGAUGUUAAUUUUCAAAACUACUCUUAUAUAUUAAAAUACAAGUUUAACAUGUAUUUUUUAUUGUUAAUUUUUAUAUAAUGUCAUUUUUAGAUAUAUUUUAAAUUAAAUAUAUUUUAUUUUUCAUUUCUUAUUACAAGUAUAUAUUUUAUUUUUGUUUUUAAUAUAAUUUCUUAUAUUGUAUAUUUUAUUUUAAAUUUUUUCUUUGAAAGAUAAUAUUUUAUUUUUAUUUCUUAAUACGUUUUAUAUGUAUACAUUAAUGUGAUAGCUUCCUCUCUUGUAACCAAUAGCAAAUCACAAUAAAUUGUGAUAGGGUGCAACCAAAAGUUGAUAUAACGACUGGCAGUAACAACUAAACAUUUUUGCACUCUUUUCUUGCACCUUAAAAUCUAAAAAAAAAAAAAAAAUUACAAUAGUUUCCUACUGUCAAGACCAAUUUUACACUAAACAAAAUAAAAAAAAUGGGAGGUCAAAUCUU